AGGUUCUCCUCACGUACAAUCUGUGGCUCCCACUUGCUUAAACCCCUUGCUUCUAUCCCAGGGAAAAGAGAGAGAAGGAAAAGAAAGCACUUUCAGACACCCUUUUCUUUUCUACUUUCUCUCUCUAACACCGAUUAAGCAAGCGUCUAGAGAGAGAAAGGGAGGUGUUCGUUUCAUAACAAAGAUCUCUCUUUUAACAUAUUUUUAUGCAGACACUAUAUAUGUAUUUUUCUUCUUCUUCUUCUUCAUAGUAGUAAGACACAGCACAUGCCAAUAAUAUUUUCGCUAUUUCUUGUCCCUCUUCUAUAAGAGUUGGAAGGGCUAGUUUUUGUUUUCUUUUUUGAAGAGAAGAAUUUUUAAGUGGGUUUCUUUUUUCUUUAACAAUACCCUUUUUGUUUUCGGUUUCUGGGUUGAUUUAAGGUUGGCAAUUGAGAUUGUUAAGAAUCUAAAAUCUGAUCCUUGGUAUUGGAGGGUGAUAAAGCUUGCAUUUUUGUGUGGAGUUUUUGGUACGCACGGGAGGUACAAGCUGUGUUCAUUUUGGCUUUACCUUUUAUGCUGACACCUUUUUAUAUCUUAUAUCUGUAGAUUGUCUUUUUCAUUUUCUUUUCUUUUCUAAUACUUGUAGUUUUCAGUCCAGAUUGUUGAGUUCUUUUUUUUUUUUUUUGUUCCUUUUUGUUUUCUGUGGUGUAAAUAAAUAUCAGGAGAGAAAUGAGAACUAUUAAUAAGGCGGAGGAGAAAUGUGAAAAAGGAAAAAUUAGUUUCUGAGAAGGGGAUAGAAAGGGGGAUUAUUGUGCAAUUAAGAAGGUUUAGGCAGUUUAGCGUGUAAGAUCUUGAAAUUUAGAAGAUAUAGUUGCUUUUCUUUACCGAAAAAGGAUCGGGGGAGUAUUUUAGAUCUUGAACUACUUCUGGCAGUUUUUGCAAUAUGUAAUUGGUGUGUUUGUAAGACCAUGGGGCAAGUAGUCUGUUUUCUUUUUUCUAUUACUAUGAAUUAUAGUCUGUCGAGGGUUUGUAAGAUCAAGGGACUUUGACAAGAAUGUGUUGAGCAAGUGUUGACUUAGGUGCAAUGUUAAGAGCAUUAGCUCCUGGACUUUUUCUAAUAACUUAUCUUAUGAUCUCAGUCUCUGCCAUCGACAAUGAGUUCGGGAAUUGUAACUGCGAUGAUGAGGGUAUUUGGAGCAUACAUAGCAUUCUAGAGUGUCAAAGAGUCAGUGAUUUCUUGAUUGCAGUAGCCUAUUUUUCAAUUCCUAUUGAACUCCUUUACUUCAUUAGUUGCUCCAACUUUCCAUUUAAAUGGGUCCUUCUUCAGUUUAUUGCAUUUAUAGUCCUUUGUGGAUUGACACAUCUGCUCAAUGCCUGGACUUAUUACGGUCCACACUCAUUUCAAUUGAUGCUGUCUCUCACCAUUGCAAAAUUUCUUACUGCUUUGGUUUCAUGCGCAACUGCCAUUACCCUUUUGACUUUGAUUCCUCUUCUUCUCAAAUGGAAAGUGAGAGAGCUUUUCUUGAAGCAAAAUGUGUUGGAAUUAGACCAAGAAGUUGGUUUUAUGAAGAAGCAAAAGGAAGCAAGUUUGCACGUUCGGAUGCUAACUCGAGAAAUCAGGAAGUCGCUUGAUAAACAUACCAUAUUGUAUACGACUUUAGUUGAGCUUUCGAAAACUUUGGAUUUGCAUAAUUGUGCUGUAUGGAUGCCAAAUGAGAAUAGAACAGAGAUGAACCUCACCCAUGAGUUGAAACCAAGUGCUAAACCUUAUCACUUCUCUAUCCUCGUCAAUGAUCCGGAUGUAUUAGAGAUAAAAGGUAGCAAGGGGGUGAAGAUUUUAAGGUCAAAUUCAGCACUUGGGGCUGCAAGUGGUGGUGGGUCUGAGGAGGCAGGUGCCGUGGCAGCAAUUCGGAUGCCGAUGCUUCGGGUUUCAAAUUUUAAAGGAGGGACGCCUGAAUUAGUUGAUACUUGCUAUGCUAUACUGGUUUUGGUUCUUCCAAGCAUGAAUUCCAGGGGUUGGAGCUUUGACGAAAUGGAAAUAGUGGAAGUCGUUGCUGAUCAGGUGGCUGUUGCUUUAUCUCAUGCUUCAGUUCUUGAAGAGUCUCAAAUUAUGAGAGAGAAGCUAAGUGAGCAAAAUCGUGCUUUGCAGCAAGCUAAGAAGAAUGCAAUGAUGGCAAGCCAGGCAAGGAACUCAUUUCAAAAGGUGAUGAGUCAUGGAAUGAGGAGGCCAAUGCACUCAAUCUUGGGCCUGCUUUCGAUGUUCCAAGAUGAGAACAUGAGUUUUGAACAGAGGAUUAUCAUUGAUACAUUGGUAAAAUCCGGCAAUGUCCUUUCCACUUUGAUUAAUGAUGUCAUGGAUAUUUCAGUGAAGGAUAAUGGAAGAUUCCUAUUAGAAAUGAGGCCAUUCCGGCUACACUCCAUGAUCAAGGAAGCUUCUUGCCUUGCUAAGUGCUUCUGUGUGUAUAAGGGCAUUGGUUUUGAUAUUGAUGUUCAUAGUUCUUUGCCUGAUUUAGUGAUAGGAGAUGAGCGAAGGGCUUUUCAAGUGAUUCUUCAUAUGGUUGGACAUCUUUUGAACAUCUAUGAUGGAGGUGGAACUGUUAUAUUUCGGGUUUUCUCAGAGAGUGGCAGUGAGGGAAAGAAUGAUAGAAUGUUGGGCAUGUGGAAAUCAAAUGCUUCAGAGGAGUAUGUGUGUAUAAAGUUUGAGAUCGAGAUUAGAGAGGGAAGUUCUUUAUCAGACGGAUCAAUCUCAACCACACAUUCUUCUGGGAGGAGGCAAAACAGUGAUGAAGCUAAAAAAGGCUUGAGCUUCAGUAUGUGCAAAAAGCUUGUGCAGAUGAUGCAAGGUAAUAUUUGGAUAUCUCAGAACUCUCUGGGUUUUACACAAAGCAUGACUCUCGUUCUAAGGUUCCAAAUCCGGCCUUCUUAUGGAAGAGGCAUAUAUGCCCCUGGAACUACCUCAGAACAACCAAAUUCCAAUUCGUUGUUCAGAGGUCUUAAGGUUAUACUUGCUGAUGAUGAUGAUGUGAACAGAACUGUGACCAAGAAGCUGCUCGGGAAGUUAGGUUGUGAAGUGACUGCUGUGUCAUCUGGAUUUGAAUGCCUUAGUGCUCUUACUUGUGCUGAAAAUUCUUUCGGAGCAGUUAUUUUGGAUCUUCAGAUGCCAGAAAUGGAUGGAUUCGAAGUGGCAAUGAGAAUCCGAAAGUUCCGAAGUCGUAGUUGGCCAUUGAUUAUAGCUCUCACUGCAAGUGCUGAGGAUCAUAUUUGGGAGAGAUGCCUACAGAUGGGAAUGAAUGGAGUAAUUCGAAAACCUGUUCUCUUACAAGGGAUGGCCGAUGAGCUCCGGAGAGCUCUGCAAAGGGCAGGUGAAGGGUUAUAAAGAGCAAGUUAUCAAAGAUAAUCUCGCAUUGUUUUAUCCGAUGGGGUCGCAAAACUCUCAAAUCUCACCUUCAAGAUGCAGCAUGGGAACAUUAUACAAUGAUGGUAUACAAAAAAUACAGGUUUUCGUGGCUGAUAGGGUACUGAUCCACAGCUGCCACCUCGAAAUCUCUCUAGUCUUUGCACCAACAGAAAGUUGGUAUUGCUACGCGCGACAAUGACAGUGAGGUAGAUAAGCCUUCACCACAACUUCGGGGUUUGCAAUAAAAAAAGCAUUCAUUUGCAUUCAAAAUCUUAAAGGUGGUGAGGUCCAUUAAGUUUGUUGGAAGUGACAAGAAAGUGGAAUUCUCCCUGGUGUUAGGUGCUUGAGGUAGUAAUUUCAUGGCUUGGAGACUUGGAGUUGGAGGAAAUGUCGCUAGCUUUACGUAAAAUUGUUUGGUCAGGGAGUGGAAGAGAAAGAAAGCAGCUUCUCGUGACCCAUGUAUCUAACAUUGUCAUUUUCCAGAUAUACAUUUACUACUCCCAAAACUAAUGUCAGGGGAUUCAGAAAUAGUACUUCAACAACCAUUACGUGCCCAAGGUCUUUUAUUCUUCUUGGCGUCUGAUAUUUUGGCACAAAUCUGCCCCACAAAUGUAUUAGAAAUGAUACCUUAGGAUGAAUGUAAAUCUCAGCAAAUUGCUUCUGCUCCAAGAAUAAGAGUUUUUUCUUCAGUAACUAUCUCAAAUGGUUAUAAAUAUUGAAAAUUCUAUUAUUA